rnacentral:rRNA from 1 species
AUGAACUGGAGCUAGCGGCACGGCGUGGCGAUGGGCACGGCACGGCGUCUCCGCUACCUCCACAAGGGAUGCGUGCGCCGGAUCAUCCACCGGGACAUCAAGGCCUCCAACAUCCUCCUCGACACCGACUACUAGCCCAGGUACGCUCAUGCUCGCCGUCGCUAUCCAUCAACACACUCUACUCCUGCUUCCUCUGUUCGACGGCGGGGUUCGCUGACAGACGUCCUCUACACACGCACACACGCAAAUGGUGUACAAGGGCGAGGGCGGCUUCAGCAAGGUGUACAAGGGCACGAUGCUCGCCGGACGCAGUAG